rnacentral:rRNA from 1 species
UUUAGUUAGAGUUUGAUCCUAGCUCAGGAUGAACGCUGGCGGCGUGGAUAAGGCAUGCAAGUCGAACGGACUUUUCAUUUUUGAAGAUGCGAUUAUAUCAAGUCGGAAAUGUUGAAAAGUUAGUGGCGAACGAGGUAGUAAUACAUAGGAACUUCCCCCAGAGUCGUGAAUAAUCUGUCGAAAGACAGACUAAUACACGAUGGUCUCGCAAGAGUAAAGUUUUAACGCUCUGGGAAAGGCCUGUGCGAUAUCAGCUAGUUGGUAGUGUAAUGGACUACCAAGGCUAUGACGUCUAGGGGAGCUGAGAGGCUGACCCCCACCGAUGGUACUGAGACACGGACCAUACACCUACGGGUGGCUGCAGUCGAGAAUCUUCCACAAUGGACGAAAGUCUGAUGGAGCGACGCCGCGUGAUUGAUGAAGUCCCUCUGGGACGUAAAGAUCUUUUAUGAGGGAAGAAGUUUAUUGACUGUACCUCAUGAAUAAGAGGCUCCUAAUCUCGUGCCAGCAGGAGCGGUAAUACGAGAGCCUCGAGCGUUAUCCGGAAUUAUUGGGCGUAAAGGGUGCGUAGGUUGUUCUGUUAGUCUUUUGUCAAAGCCCCGAGCUUAACUUGGGAUAUGCGAAAGAAACGGCAGAACUAGAAAGUGCGAGAGGUGAAUGGAACUCAUGGUGUAGGGGUGAAAUCCGUUGAUAUCAUGGGGAACACCAAAUGCGAAGGCAAUUCACUGGCGCAUAUUUGACACUGAAGCACGAAAGCGUGGGUAGCGAAUGGGAUUAGAUACCCCAGUAGUCCACGCCCUAAACGAUGAUCUCUCGCUAUUCGGAGUAUCGACCCUCUGAGUGGCUUAGCUAACGCGUUAAGAGAUCCGCCUGGGAAGUACGGCCGCAAGGCUAAAACUCAAAGGAAUAGACGGGGACUUGCACAAGCAGUGGAUUAUGUGGUUUAAUUCGAUGGUAAACGAAGAACCUUACCAGGGUUAGAAAUCCUAUUGAAAGCCUUUAGAAACAUUGGCCCUCGCAAGACAGUAGGACAGGUGAUGCAUGGCCGUCGUCAGUUCGUGGUUUGAAUUGUACCCUUAAGUGGGCUAACGAACGCAACCCUCGUUGUGUGUUACAAGUGUCACACGAGACCGCCCCCGCCUAAGCGCACGAAGUGCGCUAGUAAAAAGUUUUUAAAGUUUUAAAGUUCAUAAAGUGAAUUCAAAUUUACUUUUUACUUUUAACUUUCUACUUUAUAACUAGCCUAAAUUCGCUUCGCGAAUUUAGGCGGGGGAGGAAGGAGAGGAUGACGCCAGGUCAGCAUGUCCCUUUGAUACCCUGGGCUACACACAUAAUACAAUGGCCACUACAACGCGUUGCGACGAGGCGACUCUGAGCUAAUCGUUUAAAAGUGGCCUCAGUUCGGAUUGAAGGCUGCAACUCGCCCUCAUGAAGCUGGAAUUGCUAGUAAUCGCAGGUCAGCUAAACUGCGGUGAAUACGUUCUCAAGUCUUGUACUCACCGCCCGUCAAGUCAAGGGAGCCGGGAGUACCCGAAGUAUCCGCAUAAGCGGGUCCUAAGGUAAGCUCGGUGACAGGGACUAAGUCGUAACAAGGCACGGGUAGCGGAAGCUGCUCGUGGAAUAAUUCAAUU